rnacentral:rRNA from 1 species
CCUACGGGUGACAGCAGUGGGGGAUAUUGCACAAUGGGGGAAACCCUGAUGCAGCGACGCCGCGUGAGUGAAGAAGUAUUUCGGGAUGUAAAGCUCUAUCAGCAGGGAAGAAAAUGACAGUACCUGACCAAGAAGCCCCGGCUAACUACGUGCCAGCAGCCGCGGUAAUACGGAGGGGGCAAGCGUUAUCCGGAUUUACUGGGUGUAAAGGGAGCGUAGACGGUUCUGUAAGUCUGGAGGGAAAGCCCGGGGCCCAACCCCGGGACGGCUUUGGAAACUGGGUAACUGGAGGACAGGAGGGGCAGGCGGCAUUCCUUGUUUAGCGGUGACAUGCGUAGAUCUCAGGAG